rnacentral:rRNA from 1 species
AAACGCUUGGAGUCAGUCGCGUCGGCCGAGACUCAGCCUUGCUUCUGCUUGGUGCACUUCUCGGUUGAUGGGCCAGCAUCAAUUUCGACUGCCGGAGAAGGAUCGAGGGAAGGUGGCACCUUUCGGUGUGUUAUAGCCCUCGGUUGUACACGGUGGUUGGGAUUGAGGAACUCAGCACGCCGAAAGGCCGGGUUUUUAACCACGUACGUGCUUAGGAUGCUGGCAUAAUGGCUUUAAUCGA